GUGGGGAAUAUUGGACAAUGGGCGAAAGCCUGAUCCAGCAAUGCCGCGUGAGUGAUGAAGGCCCUAGGGUUGUAAAGCUCUUUUACCCGGGAUGAUAAUGACAGUACCGGGAGAAUAAGCUCCGGCUAACUUCGUGCCAGCAGCCGCGGUAAUACGAGGGGAGCUAGCGUUGUUCGGAAUUACUGGGCGUAAAGCGCGCGUAGGCGGUUUUUUAAGUCAGAGGUGAAAGCCCGGGGCUCAACCCCGGAAUAGCCUUUGAAACUGGAAAACUAGAAUCUUGGAGAGGUCAGUGGAAUUCCGAGUGUAGAGGUGAAAUUCGUAGAUAUUCGGAAGAACACCAGUGGCGAAGGCGACUGACUGGACAAGUAUUGACGCUGAGGUGCGAAAGCGUGGGGAGCAAACAGGAUUAGAAACCCCGGUAGUCC
rnacentral:rRNA from 1 species